rnacentral:rRNA from 1 species
UACGUAGGGUGCAAGCGUUAAUCGGAAUUACUGGGCGUAAAGCGUGCGCAGGCGGUUAUGUAAGACAGGUGUGAAAUCCCCGGGCUUAACCUGGGAACUGCAUUUGUGACUGCAUAGCUAGAGUACGGUAGAGGGGGAUGGAAUUCCGCGUGUAGGCAGUGAAAUGCGUAGAUAUGACGGAGGAACACCGAUGGCGAAGGCAAUCCCCUGGGCCUGCACUGGACGCUCAUGCACGAAAGCGUGGGGAGCAAACAGG